GGGGAUACAAAAAUAGACAUUAUUAGAUGGAUAGUUUGGCUCAGUUAGAUGAUGAAGGAUGUGACAAGCUACAGAAUGCUUUGGCGAGAUGCAUGUAAUCUUUGAACCAAAGAUGUCCGAAUGUGACUUCACAUUAAAUCCGUAAGGAUGAGCAACGCAGGGAAGUGAAACAUCACAGUACCUGCAGGAAAAGAAAUCAAGAGAGAUACUGUUAGUAAGGGCGACUGAAAACAGCGAAAGGCAAACUGAAUCCUUUAUAGUAAUAUAAAGGAGAUGUAGUGUUGACCACUAUUAAGAGCCAUUUUUGUGAAUCGAAGUUUCUUGGAAUAGAACACAAUACAGGGUGAAAGUCCCGUAGAUAAAAUAAAAUUGGUUUGAAGUGAGUUCAAGAGUAGUAUUCAUCGGAUAUUGAAUAUGAACAUGGGAGUAUCAACUUCUAACCUUAAACACUUACUGAGUCCGAUAGCGUAGGAGUACCGCGAGGGAAAACUGAAAAGGACCCGUAACAGGGUGUGAAAAGAACUUGAAAUCUAAUAAUGAUGGUUCGGUAGGGCUCUUCGGAGUUCUGCCGUUCGUUUUGAAUAACGUGCCAGGGAGUUAAUCUGUGUGGCGAAGAUAAUCUUUAAAAGAGUAUCUAAAGCGAAAGCAAAACCUUACAAACUCGCAAGAGUUGAGGAGGAAGGUAGUAACAUGCCUUAAGUCACAUAGAUUUGACCCGAAACGGGACGAUCUAGCCUUGGGUAAGAUGAAAUGCAGGUAAAACUGCAUGGAGGUCUGAAGAAGUGCUACGUGCAAGUGCUUUUCUAACUUGAGGCUAGGGGUGAAAAGCCAAUCGAGUUCCGUGAUAGCUGGUUCCUACCGAAGUUGGCCGCAGUCAAGUCUAUGGUUUGAUAACAUAAAUGGUAGAGUCACGGAUUGAAGAUUCUGGGGGAGAAAUUCCUCGAUCUUUUGUCCAACUCCGAAUAUUUAUGCAUUGUAACCAAGGAGACGCGUAUACUGGGGUAAACUUGUAUACGGAGAGGGGAACAACCCAGACUAUAGUUAAGGCCCCUAAACGCUAACUAAGUGCGAAAGGGUGAAGAGUGUUUAUCCACAGAGACAGCAAGGAGGUUGGCUUAGAAGCAGCCACCCUAUAAUAAGUGCGUAACAGCUUACUUGUCAAGUGGGUAGGCCUUGAAAAUGGACGGGGCUAAGUUAGCUGCCGAUACUAUAGACCAUCCAAAAGAUGUGUGGUAGGUAUGGCGUUCUGGUUGGGUAGAAGGUUUUACAAGAGUGAAACUGGACCGAUCAGAAAUGAGAAUCCUGGUGGUAGUAGGAUCAAAGCAGAGUGAGAAUCUCUGUCGCCGAAAGGGCAAGGGUUCCUUGACAAUGUCAAUCAGUCAAGGGUAAGUUAAUCCUAACUGUUCUCAUAACUUGAGAAACGGGAAAGGGAAACAGGUUAAUAUUCCUGUACUAUCAAAGUAAAUGUGGCAACACAAGUUUAAUUCUUGACGUUUUUGGUUAGACCAACACAAAUCGUCGUUUGUGCUAAUUGAGAUAAAUUAAUGGAGUGUCAUAAUGAUGAGAAAUUAAUUAAACUCAAGAAUGGUGCUCUUCGAGCAUUUGGUUGAUACCAAGAGCCCGUGAAAAAGGAAUUAAAAUUAAUCUUUGAUAUCUAUACCCAGAACCAACACUGGUGCCCCUAGGUGAGAAGCCUAAGGUGUGAAGGUUUAAUCUAAUUAAGGGAAUUCGGCAAUUUGGCCCCGUGCCUUCGGCAUAAGGGGUUCCUGUAAUCGUGGUUGAAUGAUUGCGAUUGUAGGAUGCAAAGAUCAAGGUGGUCCGACUGUUUAACAAAAACAUAGCUUUCUGCUAGCCUGAAAAGGUGUGUACAGAAGGUCAGGUCUGCCCAGUGCCCGUACUUCAAACUCCUUUUCAAGGGAGCUAAGAGCGGGUAAACGGCGGGAGUAACUAUAACUCUCUUAAGGUAGCGAAAUACCUUGCCGUUUGAAUGACGGCCUGCAUGAAUGGCUUAACGAGAUUGCCCCUGUCCCUAGUUAGAUUCCUCUGAACACACUAUUCUGGUGCAAAGGCCAGAGAUUUCCAGUGGGAAGUGAAGACCCCGUGAAACUUUACUGUAGCCUGUAAUUGUGACGUGAGGUUUGUUGUAUAGCGUAGAUGGUAGUCGCCAUGUUCUAAUCGCUAGGUUAGAAAUAGACAACAAUGAAACACCAUCCAACAAAACUUACGUUGCUAACUAGCUCAAUGCUAGGACAGUUAUUGGUGGACAGUUUGGCUGGGGUGGCACCCUGCUGAAAUUGUAUCAGUAGGGCCCAAAGGUUAGCUCAAUUCGGUCAGAAAUCGAAUGGAGAGUGCAAGGGCAAAAGCUAGCCUGAUUGGAUUUUCACUAAUACAAAAUCCAAAAACGAAAGUUUGGCCUAGCGAACUCCUAUACCUUCUUGAUGGGGGUUAGGAAUGACAGAAAAGUUACUCCGGGGAUAACAGAGUCGUCGCGCCCGAGAGCUCAAUUUUUAUUCGUGAAAAUUCAUGAAUAUUAUGAGUAGAUCGACGGCGCGGUUUGCUACAUCGAUGUCGGCUCUUCCUAUCCUGGUCGUGCAGAAUUAAAAGGAAUAAUUUCCUUUUGCUGUUGGCGACCAAGGGUGCGGGUGUUCACCGAUUAAAAGGGAUCGUGAGCUGGGUUCAGAACGCUGUGAGGCAGUUUGUUUAAUAUCUACUGGAAAUGUUGGAAAUUUGAAGGGAAGGAUCUUCUAGUACGAGAGGAACGAAGGUUCGGAGCCUCUGGUUUAACGGUUAUCUGAUAAGGUAAGCCGUGCAGCUACGCUCUGGAGGAUAAGUGCUGAAAGCAUCUAAGCACGAAGCCUUCCUUGAAAAGAAAUUUUCCGAACACCUAUAGAACAUGGGUUUGAUGGAUAUGGUGUGUAAGUAUCAAGGCAACGAGAUAUUUAGCAUGCGUAUUCCAAUAGUUCACACUUGUAUCCUC
rnacentral:rRNA from 1 species